GACGAACGCUGGCGGCGUGCUUAACACAUGCAAGUCGAACGGAAAGGCCCUGCUUUUGUGGGGUGCUCGAGUGGCGAACGGGUGAGUAACACGUGAGUAACCUGCCCUUGACUUUGGGAUAACUUCAGGAAACUGGGGCUAAUACCGGAUAGGAGCUCCUGCUGCAUGGUGGGGGUUGGAAAGUUUCGGCGGUUGGGGAUGGACUCGCGGCUUAUCAGCUUGUUGGGGGGGUAGUGGCUUACCAAGGCUUUGACGGGUAGCCGGCCUGAGAGGGUGACCGGCCACAUUGGGACUGAGAUACGGCCCAGACUCCUACGGGAGGCAGCAGUGGGGAAUAUUGCACAAUGGGCGGAAGCCUGAUGCAACAACGCCGCGUGCGGGAUGACGGCCUUCGGGUUGUAAACCGCUUUCGCCUGUGACGAAGCGUGAGUGACGGUAAUGGGUAAAGAAGCACCGGCUAACUACGUG
rnacentral:rRNA from 1 species